rnacentral:rRNA from 1 species
UAUUUUAAAGAGAGUUUGAUCCUGGCUCAGGACGAACGCUGGCGGCGUGCCUAAUACAUGCAAGUCGAACGAACGGAGGAAGAGCUUGCUCUUCCAAAGUUAGUGGCGGACGGGUGAGUAACACGUGGGCAACCUGCCUGUAAGUUGGGGAUAACUCCGGGAAACCGGGGCUAAUACCGAAUGAUAAAGUGUGGCGAAUGCCACGCUUUUGAAAGAUGGUUUCGGCUAUCGCUUACAGAUGGGCCCGCGGUGCAUUAGCUAGUUGGUAGGGUAAUGGCCUACCAAGGCAACGAUGCAUAGCCGACCUGAGAGGGUGAUCGGCCACACUGGGACUGAGACACGGCCCAGACUCCUACGGGAGGCAGCAGUAGGGAAUCUUCCGCAAUGGACGAAAGUCUGACGGAGCAACGCCGCGUGUAUGAAAGGAAGGUUUCUCGGAUCGUAAAGUACUUGUUGUUACCGACAGAAGAACAAAGGAUUAAGAGUAACUGCUUGUCCCUUGACCGGUAUCCUAAACAAGAAAAGCCACCGGGCUAACUACAGUGCCAGCCAGGCCGCGGGAAUACGUAAGCGGUGGCCAGGCGGUCUGUCCCGGAUUUAUUGGGCGUAAAGCGCGCCCGCAGGCGGUCCUUUUAAGUCCUGAUGUGAAAGCCCCCCCGGGCUUAACCGGGGGAGGAGUCAUUUGGAAACUGGAAGACUUGGAGUGGGCAGAAGAGGAGAAGUGGAAUUCCACCGUGUAGCGGGAAAUGCGUAGAUAUGUGAGGAACCACCAGGUGGGCCGAAGGCCGAACUCUCUGGUUCUGUAAACUGGACGCUGGAGGCGCGAAAAGCGCGGUGGGGAGGCAAAACAGGCAUUUAGAUACGCCUGGGGUAGUUCCCACGGCCGUAAAACGAUGAGUGCUAAGUUGGUUAGGGGGUUUCCCGCCCCUUAGUUGCUGCCAGCUAACGCAAUUAAAGCCACGUCCGGACUGGGAAGUACGACCGGCAAGUUUGAAACUCAAAGGAAUUGACGGGGGCCCGCACAAGGCGGUGGGAGGCAUGUGGGUUUAAUUCGAAGCAAACGCGCAAGAAACUUACCCAGGUGCCUUGACAUCCUCUGGACCACACUCUGGAGACAGAGCUUUCCCUUCGGGACAAAGUUGACAGGUGGUGCAUGGUUGUCGUCCAGGCUCGUGGUCGUGGAGAUGUUGGGUUAGAGUCCCCCCGCGCAAACGAGCGGCAACCCUUGGAUUUUAGUUUGCCAGCAUUGUAGUUGGGGCACUCUAAAGUGACUGCCGGUGCAAGCCGGAGGGGAAGGUGGGGUAUGACGUCAAAUCAUUUCAUGCGCCCUUAUGACGUCUGGGCUACACAGCGUGGCUAACAAUGGAAUAGUACAAAGGGUCGGCGAAAGCGCCACGAGGUUGGAAGCUAAUCCCAUAAAAACCUAUUCUCAGUUCGGAUUGUAGGCUGGCAACUCGGCCUACAUCGAAGCCGCGGAAUCCCGCUAGUAUCGGUGGAUUCAGGCAUGCGCCACGGGUGAAUACGGUUCCCCGGGGCCCUUUGUAGCACACCGCCCGUCCCACAGCCACGAGAGUUUGUAACACCGCGAAGUCCCGGUAGCGGGGUAACGCUUUAUGGAGCCAUCCGCGCGAAGGUGGGACAGAUAAUUGGGUUUGAAGUCGUAACAAGGGUAGCCGUAUCGGAAAGGUGACGGGCUGGAUCAACCUCCUUUCUAAGGAA